rnacentral:lncRNA from 1 species
UUGUUUAAAAACUUCAAUGUUUUUUUAUCACACAAUAUUAUAUAUUUGUUAAUUUCAAACUAAACUUGAAAUUGAAAAGUAAAACCUCCCUCGUAUGUUUUACUUUCUUUUAGUUUUAAAAAUCAAUAAAUACAAAACAAUUUUUAAAAACACUUUUGUAAAGCUUGAUUAACAUACUAUUUUUUUAAUUUUUUAUUUUUAAAAACAAAAAAAUUGUUUUUGACAAGGGAAUCAAACAAAUCCUUAAUUUUUCAGAUUUGGGUUUAAUUUUUUUUGGUGAAUCAGAUCUAGGUUAGAAGGUUGUUGAUGAUGGCUUAUUUAUGUUGGUUUUUUGGGAUUGUAUUUCUGAAUUUUCUGGAACUCUCUUAUAUUUGUUUUCGGGAUUUUGGUCAACUUUAAUUUGGGGUUUUAGAUGUUGAUGAUGGUUUUGAGUUGUUCAUAAGCACAAAAGAAGACUAAUAAAAUUGUUGAACACUGUAUUCUCAAGCUAGAUGAAGAUGAGUACUAUAUUGUUGAAAAUGAUGAACAAUGAUCGUUUAUGUUUCGGAUUUCAGAUUGAGAAGUUGAUUGGGGGAAGAUGAGGAUGAUGUUAAUUAGGUAAUUAUUUUAUUACUAUAUGUUGUUGAUAUUUUUUUUAAAUUUUAAAUUUAUGUUUUUUAUUUUUAAAAUAAUUUUAAUUAAAUUAAAAUUCGUGUGGAUUAAAAAACUCAUAAUAUAUUGAUUUUAUAUAUAUAUUUAUAUAUAUAUAUAUAUAGAUAUAUAUAUUGAUUUUAUAAAAAAAAAUAGGUUAAAUUACAUUUGUGGUUCCUUAACUUAAUUUUAGGUAACGUUUUAGUCAUUUAUCUUUUUUUUUUUUUUCUGACUUGGUCCUUUAAUUUAAUUUUAAGUGACAAUUUGAUAUUUUAUGUUUUAAAAUUUCAACAAUGUUAUCCUUUUUUAUACAAAAAUUCAAAAAAUAUCUCAAACAAAACUUAUAAAAUUAAUUAUAUUCUUCAAUAUAAUACAAAUUUCAUCAAAUUCGUAACGCAAAUCUUCAAAUAAACUCAUAUUUUCAUACUUUAUUUGAUAUUGUUAGGAAUAAAGGACUAAAUCGAGCAGAAAAAAAAAAAGAUAAAAGAAUUAACUGAAAUUAAGUUAAGAGAUCACAUGUGAUAUUUAGCAAAAAAAAAAAAUAUUAGUGCUUCUCAUUAUCCCUAGAUGAUAUGAUUGUGAGAGUUCACCUUAAACUAAACAAACAAUAAUUUGUAAUUUUAUUUACAUUUGUGAUAGUCAAAUAUGAUAUUGUAAUGAUAAAAUCUAUUUCAAC